GAUGAACGCUGGCGGCGUGCCUAAUACAUGCAAGUCGAGCGAAUGGAUUAAGAGCUUGCUCUUAUGAAGUUAGCGGCGGACGGGUGAGUAACACGUGGGUAACCUGCCCAUAAGACUGGGAUAACUCCGGGAAACCGGGGCUAAUACCGGGUAACAUUUUGAAUCGCAUGGUUCGAAAUUGAAAGGCGGCUUCGGCUGUCACUUAUGGAUGGACCCGCGUCGCAUUAGCCAGUUGGUGAGGUAACGGCUCACCAAGGCAACGAUGCGUAGCCGACCUGAGAGGGUGAUCGGCCACACUGGGACUGAGACACGGCCCAGACUCCUACGGGAGGCAGCAGUAGGGAAUCUUCCGCAAUGGACGAAAGUCUGACGGAGCAACGCCGCGUGAGUGACGAAGGCUUUCGGGUCGCAAAACUCUGUUGUUAGGGAAGAACAAGUGCUAGUUGAAUAAGCUGGCACCUUGACGGUACCUAACCAGAAAGCCACGGCUAACUACGUGCCAGCAGCCGCCGUAA
rnacentral:rRNA from 1 species